rnacentral:rRNA from 1 species
GGGACAACCCGCCGAAAGGCGGGCUAAACCCGCGUACAUGCCACCGGGGCAUCCCGGAGGCAGGAAAGGCUUCGGCCGGACAGGGAUGGGCAUGCGGCGCAUUAGGCAGUAGGCGGGGUAACGGCCCACCCAACCGACGAUGCGUAGGGGUUCUGAGAGGAAGGUCCCCCACACUGGUACUGAGACACGGACCAGACUCCUACGGGAGGCAGCAGUGAGGAAUAUUGGUCAAUGGUCGGGAGACUGAACCAGCCAAGCCGCGUGAGGGAUGAAGGUACAGAGUAUCGUAAACCUCUUUUGUCAGGGAACAAAGGCGGGGACGUGUCCCCGGAUGAGUGUACCUGAAGAAAAAGCAUCGGCUAACUCCGUGCCAGCAGCCGCGGUAAUACGGAGGAUGCGAGCGUUAUCCGGAUUUAUUGGGUUUAAAGGGUGCGCAGGCGGUCUGUUAAGUCAGCGGUCAAAGCCCGGGGCUCAACCCCGGCCCGCCGUUGAAACUGGCAGUCUCGAGUUGGAGAGAAGUAUGCGGAAUGCGCGGUGUAGCGGUGAAAUGCAUAGAUAUCGCGCAGAACUCCGAUUGCGAAGGCAGCAUGCCGGCUCCACACUGACGCUGAGGCACGAAAGCGUGGGUAUCGAACAGGAUUAGAUACCCUGGUAGUCCACGCAGUAAACGAUGAAUGCUGGGUGUCCG